UGAGCUGCGAAGAUUGCCAUGCCGUUUAUGUAGGAUUGUAGGCCAAUCUCAGCGUCAAACUCAGACUAGGGUAUUGGAACACCGAAGCCUGUAUAACAAAAUUAGAGCCUCUGAAGGCACGGAAACAAAAUCAACUUUUUUAACUAUCUAUAAGACAUUGUUACACAAUACAAAAAUUGGAAAUAAUAAAAGUCAAGAAUGUCCAGUGCUGAAUGGGAUUUCUAAUUUUGAACCCUACUUAAUCAAACUUUCCAAUCUGUUUCAAAUCAGGCAUUUCCACCAGAUUUUUCUGAUGCAGUACCAAACAAAAGCAACGAAACGCCAGAAGACAGAGAGUCGACAAUAGGUACGAGAACAAGAACAAAUUCUAUUAAAAGCAAACAAUCACACACUCCAGAAGAAACGUGUGCAGCCCCACCAAUUAAAAAGCUACGGAAGUAAUAGGUACUUAACGAAUUUCUAAAACCUUUUUAACGCUUUUUUUCAUUAAUUUUAAUUUUUGUCUAUCUAUUUUUAUGGAAUUAAUUUUUAUAAUUUCUUCUAUGUUGUACCAUGUGCAUGUUCUAAUAUUAGAACGUAAAAUUUUUAAACUUUUUUUGAAUAUUUCGUACAUUUUUAACGUGUAAUAUUCGUCAUUUUUAUUUUAUUUUUAAACUAUGUAUUAAUGUCUAUUAUUAAAAAAUGUUAAUGCAAA